AACUGGAAGGCACAGAACAAUAAUCCAGUGAUCGCAGAUGGCAACAUCGAAAUGUCUGGUGUCCACUUCUACCAGCAACUUCAGAGUAGAGGCAACACUCCUAAAGCUCACACUCGAUGUGCUGUUUUGGACCUUGAAUGCUAUGCUUAACAUGAAUAGGAACAGGAGGUCCCCUAAAUGCCUUUGCCACUGCAUAAAUGCCUGAUUGUGGGUCUAUAGGCUGACUCUGUAAGUGGUAUUCUUUUGUGAUGUCUGGGAACUUUGAAGAAUGCCUUCUUUGCAUAUGGCGCUUCAGAUUUUUCAAAUACAAAGACAUAUUGCAGUGAGGACACUCCACGAUCGUUUGGCUUAAUUUAUUAACUCUAACAGGGCGCUGGGUCACAUUCUCACAAUGAAUACUAAAAGGCAGGGCUCAAUGUGGAGACGCUGCUGGGGCUCGAGGUGGAGACGCUGCCGGGGCUCGAGGUGGAGACGCUGCUGGGCUUCAAUGUGGAGACACAGCCGGGGCUCGAGGUGGAGACGCUGUCGGGCUUCGAUGUGGAGACACUCACAGAGCAGUUUGAUAAAUGACUAAAGAAAUCUUUUCUCCUUAUCCUGGUGUUUUUACAGCCUAGGCAAUGGAAAUGGGGUGACACCCUGCAGUUUUGGUGGCAUUUGUAUAUUCUGAAACCUACACAGGGUUUAAAAAAGUUUUUGCAGCACAUUGCAAAAUAAUAUAAGUGUAGUACUUGAGAUGGUAAUGAUAUUCAUCUAAGUCAUCAUAUGUGAUUCUUUGACACAAUUUUAUGUGCUUCUCCUUGGCACUCCAUACUCUGUCUGGUAAUGACAGACAGGACAGUGGAAGCAUCCAUUCUUAUACUGUAGAGAAAGAGUCUGUCCAGAAAAAACGAUUGAUCCAUGUACCUAUAAAAAUACACCAACAUACACUCAUUGAAUUUGUAUAUUAAUUUAUUACUCACUAUUAACAACACAUACUACAUACUUUAUGUUUCUUAAGCGCUAAACACACACACAGACAGUAUAAUCUGCAUGAAUAUAGCCGCUGAUUCAUCAAUAGAGUAAAAAAUCCUUUAAUAUUAAACUUCACACCUGAACACAAUGAACCUACGUUUAUAUUUUUUUUUCAUUAAAGCCAAAAUAAACUUUAGCCUAUCUGCUAUAAUAUCGCAUGACCGACUGCUUACCUGAACCGCCAUUCUCCCUUUCUUUAGCGCGCUAUCUGUCACUUUAGCGCACUGUCAGUCAAGGCGAGGAGACCACGCCCUGUUUUGGAGCUCCCACCCCGUUUUGGAGUUCCCGCCCCCAUUUGGAGAUCUCCGGUC
rnacentral:lncRNA from 1 species